rnacentral:rRNA from 1 species
UACGUAGGGGGCGAGCGUUGUCCGGAGUUACUGGGCGUAAAGCGCACGCAGGCGGUCUGCUAAGUUUGGAGUGACAGUUGGUGGCUUAACUGCCAAAGUGCUUCGAAAACUGACAGACUUGAGGGCUUCAGAGGGACACGGAAUUCCGGGUGGAGUGGUGAAAUGCGUAGAGAUCCGGAGGAACACCAAAGGCGAAGGCAGUGUCCUGGGGAGUACCUGACGCUCGAGGUGCGAAAGCCAGGGGAGCGAACGG